CUACGGGGGGCACCAGUCGAGAAUCAUCCGCAAUGGGCGAAAGCCUGACGGCGCAAUGCCGCGUGGGGGAUGAAGGCCCUCGGGUCGUAAACCCCUGUCAGGAGGGACGAAGAAGUGACGGUACCUCCAGAGGAGGCCACGGCUAACUACGUGCCAGCAGCCGCGGUAAUACGUAGGUGGCGAGCGUUAUUCGGAUUUACUGGGCGUAAAGGGUCCGCAGGGGGUUUGCCAAGUCUGGUGUGAAAUCUCACAGCUCAACUGUGAAACUGCGCUGGAUACUGGUGAACUAGAGUGCGCGAGGGGUGAGUGGAAUUCCUGGUGUAGCGGUGGAAUGCGUAGAUAUCAGGAAGAACACCAACGGCGAAGGCAGCUCACUGGCGCGCAACUGACCCUCAUGGACGAAAGCGUGGGUAGCAAACAGGAUUAGAUACCCGCGUAGUC
rnacentral:rRNA from 1 species